rnacentral:rRNA from 1 species
CACGUAGGGGGCAAGCGUUGUCCGGAUUUAUUGGGCGUAAAGAGCUCGUAGGUGGCUCGGUAAGUCGGGUGUGAAAUUUCGAGGCUCAACCUCGAGACGCCACCUGAUACUGCUGUGGCUUGAGUCCGGUAGGGGAGCGUGGAAUUCCUGGUGUAGCGGUGAAAUGCGCAGAUAUCAGGAGGAACACCAGCGGCGAAGGCGGCGCUCUGGGCCGGUACUGACACUGAGGAGCGAAAGCGUGGGGAUCAAACAGG